AACCCAUCGCAAUGACUGCCCACUUAACCCCGUCAGGCCCGGAAGGGAGCAGCGGUAGGUGCCGUUUUCAUGUGCCGAUGGAUCCCU
rnacentral:SRP_RNA from 1 species